CACAGAAACAGUGACAACAAUGAACAACACAAAACUAUCAGUCCGGCACAAUACACAUCAUGGCGCUGUUUCGAGUUAGGUGGUCCGCGAGGGCCAGGAAUAGCCGGUGCACGUGCAGCUAGCACCUAGCAUGCACCUAGCUAGCUACACCUGGGAGGGAGAAACGGGCCUUCUCCCGAUCAGUCACCACCCGGGAUCAGGCCCAGGUGAGGCGGACAGCUGCUGUGGAGGGACGGGGGCGAGGAGGGCUGAUGGAAGGACUGCAUGGCUCGAGCUGGAGGCCGUGGGGGGAGGCUGAGAGCCGGCUACUGCCAGCGAGAGGGACCGGGUUCUCGGGUCAACGGAAGUUACCUGGACAGAUGCAGGAACCACGUGUUCUCCAGGAAUAUCAGUGAUGAGCAGUGCAGCUGGAGACAAUAAACUGGUAGAAGAACCAAUUACCAGCAGGUGACAAGCCGGUGGUUCAGGGCUUUCAACGUGUCAUUAUCUGCACAUCGACAUUUCCAAGAGCCCUGACAGGCCAUUUCUGAGGCUGCCAUGGCAAGCCACCAUGAUAAACCCAGGAAGGAGGGAGACGAGAGGUGGGGGAGAUCUAGGGGUGGAUCGGCUGGAU